ensembl:snRNA U1 U1 spliceosomal RNA
AUACUUACCUGGCAGGGGAGAUACCAUGAUCAAGAAGGUGGUUCACCCAGGGCGAGGUUCAGCCAUUGCACCUCGGCUGUGCUGACCUCUGCGAAUUCCCCAAAUGUGGGAAUCUCGACUGCAUAAUUUCUGGUAGUGGGGGACUGCGUUCGCGCUCUCCCCUG